rnacentral:rRNA from 1 species
GACGAACGCUGGCGGCGUGCUUAACACAUGCAAGUCGAGCGGUAAGGCCCUUUCGGGGGUACACGAGCGGCGAACGGGUGAGUAACACGUGGGUGACCUGCCCUCAGCUCUGGGAUAAGCCUGGGAAACCGGGUCUAAUACCGGAUAUGACUCCAUGACGCAUGUUGUGGGGUGGAAAGCCUUGUGCGGCUGAGGAUGGGCCCGCGGCCUAUCAGCUUGUUGGUGGGGUGANGGCCUACCAAGGCGACGACGGGUAGCCGGCCUGAGAGGGCGACCGGCCACACUGGGACUGAGACACGGCCCAGACUCCUACGGGAGGCAGCAGUGGGGAAUCUUGCGCAAUGGGCGAAAGCCUGACGCAGCGAUGCCGCGUGAGGGAUGACGGCCU